AUUGAACGCUGGCGGAAUGCUUUACACAUGCAAGUCGAACGGCAGCACGGGUGCUUGCACCUGGUGGCGAGUGGCGAACGGGUGAGUAAUACAUCGGAACGUACCCUGACGUGGGGGAUAACGUAGCGAACGUUACGCUAAUACCGCAUACGUCCUGAGGGAGAAAGCAGGGUAUGGUAAGACCUUGCGCGUUAGGAGCGGCGGCUGGCGGAUUAGCUAGUUGGUAGGGUAAAGGCCUACCAAGGCGACGAUCCGUAGCGGGUCUGAGCGGACGACCCGCCACACUGGAACUGAGACUCGGUCCAGACUCCUACGGGAGGCAGCAGUGGGGAAUUUUGGACAAUGGGCGAAAGCCUGAUCCAGCCAUUCCGCGUGAGUGAAGAAGGCCUUCGGGUUGUAAAGCUCUUUCGGCAGGGAAGAAACGGUUUUGGAUAAUACCCAGAACUAAUGACGGUACCUGAAGAAGAAGCACCGGCUAACUACGUGCCAGCCGCCGCAGUAA
rnacentral:rRNA from 1 species